UACGUAGGGUGCGAGCGUUGUCCGGAAUUACUGGGCGUAAAGAGCUCGUAGGCGGUCUGUCGCGUCGAUCGUGAAAACUUGGGGCUUAACCCUGAGCUUGCGGUCGAUACGGGCAUGACUGGAGUUCGGCAGGGGAGACUGGAAUUCCUGGUGUAGCGGUGAAAUGCGCAGAUAUCAGGAGGAACACCGGUGGCGAAGGCGGUUCUCUGGGCAUGUCCUGACGCUGAGGAGCGAAAGUGUGGGGAGCGAACAGG
rnacentral:rRNA from 1 species